GCGGCUCAUCCGGGCACUCGGCUUCCGGGUGCGCGCGCCUGACGCUUUGUUUUGGUCUGGAGCCGGAAGGGACCCUUUUCUCGCGCCUAAGACCCAGGGAGGAAAGAAGGACAUCACCAUCAAAUGCACACAGAGGGAAAUAGGCCCAUCUACACUGACUAUAUAAUGCAGCUCCAAGAAACUCGAGGCCACAGUAGCCACAAAACGCACACCACUGAUGUCUGCUGUAGCAUGGAUUAAACAGGAAACAGCACAUUUAAAAAGUCAAAUAAAAGUCUGAUGUAAGCCAUAAUUUGUGCUGCUGCUGAUCCCAGUGUAUCCCAGUUUUGUCCCAAACUUGGCUUAGUUCCCAGCGAGCUGGCUCCAAUGUUUUUCAGUCAAGACAUGCAGAGAUGAGGGUAGAACCAGAAAUUUAUUGUGUCAUUGAUCAAAGAAGGAUUCCCGGGGAAAU
rnacentral:lncRNA from 1 species